rnacentral:siRNA from 1 species
AGCCCGGUUUUAGUAACUCACACA